CCCUGCUGUCAAACUACUGGAUCAUUUCCUCACUUACUCGGCUCCCUGUGUCUUCCGACUCCUCCGACUCCUGGAUCUCCUCAGCCUCCUCCUCCUCUUCUUCUUCAGAUGUUCAUUGCACUUUCGCCCAGAGAUGGCCUCCUCUUCGUGGCUACCUGAAGAAGGCUUGAUUCAUCAACCGUAUGACAUUAACAUGAAAGAGUGAGCCAGUUAAAGCACUCCAACACAAAAAUGUAAAGUAACUUGUAAUUUGAGUAACUUUAUAACAAAGUACUUUUUUACUAUUAUUCAAUUAGGUUUUCCAAUUGGAUUAUUUGCUUUUACUCAAGUAGAUUUUGAAGGAAGUAAUUGUACUUUUACUUGAGAAUAGAUUUUCAGUACUCUACCCACCACUUCUAAUGGGUUUCCCUUAUUGUUGGCUGGUUCCCAUUCAGAAGUUGAAUUCAGUCUGUCUGACUCACUUUGUCACAGGAAAUAACUG
ensembl:lncRNA